rnacentral:misc_RNA from 1 species
GUCUUGAUCUUGACACAGGCAGCAGGGCCAGAGAAGUCGAGAACUGUUGUGAGGAACUAGCAGGUGAGAGAUCAGGCCGGCAGCUGCAGGCGCAAGCACAUGAGGCUCGACGCCGCGCUCAGUCCGCUGUGAUCGCAGUCGCUGCGCGAAGACUUGGGCCGCUGCCUCUGCCUGACGAGCGGCUCCAGCCCGAGCGUGAGCUCCAGCGCGAGCUCCUCGUCUUCGUCGUCCUGAUGCUCCUGGUUAGCCUGCUGCUGGCUGCAGGCUGGCGGCGCGUGGCUCUGCGGCUCGGUCUCGGGCUCGGGCUCUGGCUCGGCUUGGCUCACGUGGGAGUGGGCAUGGGAAGCCGCCUCCACGUCGGUGUCCUCCUCCGACCCCUGCAGGCGGUGGUGCUGGUCGUGGUCGUGGUCGUGGCUGCCGGCGGACUCCUCGCCGUGCUCAACGACCAUGGGCACCGGCUCUUGUUCUGCCCUUUGCCUGUUCUUGCCGAGCGACGCGCGCUUACUGCUCCCGGGCUGGUUGUGCUUGGAGGAGGUGGAAGACGACGCGGCGCGCUUGCGGCUGCUGCUGCGGAGGAGGACGUCGGGCGCGGCGGCGGGGUCCCUGGCGACGUGGCGGAUGUCGUGGCGACGUGGUCCGAGCGGCGGCGAGGCGUCGGACGCGGCGUCGACCUGCACCUGCACGAUGGGGUCGCCCUUGAGCACGGCCUCGACGGCGGCCUGGCACGCCUGCCACUGGCCCGACCAGAGCAGGCCGACGGAGCCGUAGACCGGGUUGACGAUGCGGCCGCACGCCUCGUAGAGCAGGGAGCGGAAGGCGGCGGGGCGGAGGUGGUCGGCGGGCGGCGCGGCCAGCAGGUUGAGCAGCCCCGCCCGGCCGUAGAACUUGGCGAGGAAGACGGUGGCGUUGGCCUGCGCCUCGGGGGACUUGAUCCACUGCAGGCAGGGGCGGAUGGUGCAGGCGUCGCUGCAGCCCUUGCGCAGGACGCGGCAGCCGUUGCAGCUCAUCCGCAUCUCCGAUCGUCGGACUGGUGAUGAGAUGAGCUCUCGGUUGGAUGGAAUGGAACUUGGGAGGCGAGGACGUGGUGGGUGGUCGAGUCGAGGUGGUUGGUUGAAAGAACGGUGCUGAUGGAGCGGCGGCGGAGGGGUAGACGCGGGGCUGUUUUUUAUACUAAGGCACUAAGCGCACAGGCAGGCACUGGCGCAGCGCCGCGCGGAGAGUGAUUGGAGGAGCGAGCAGUGGCCAGUGUGCUGGCUUGGGCGCCUGUGGUUUCGGAAACUAAAGCGGAUUCGGCGCCGCGGGACGGG